CAGCAGCCGCGGUAAUACGGAGGGGGCUAGCGUUGUUCGGAAUUACUGGGCGUAAAGCGCACGUAGGCGGCUUGGUAAGUUAGAGGUGAAAGCCCGGAGCUCAACUCCGGAAUUGCCUUUAAGACUGCCGAGCUAGCAGGUGAGAGAGGUAAGUGGAAUUCCGAGUGUAGAGGUGAAAUUCGUAGAUAUUCGGAAGAACACCAGUGGCGAAGGCGGCUUACUGGCUCAUACUGGACGCUGAGGUGCGAAAGCGUGGGGAGCAAACAGGAUUAGAUACCCCAGUAGUCCCUGUCUCUUAUAC
rnacentral:rRNA from 1 species